rfam:Candidatus Roizmanbacteria bacterium RIFCSPHIGHO2_01_FTLL_39_24 rifcsphigho2_01_scaffold_239376, whole genome shotgun sequence.
AAUGUUACUCAUUAAUGCCAACAAUGGAUGCCUAGGAGGCUUUGGCCGAGGAAGGACGCAUACGGCGGCGAUACUCGUCGGGUAGGUGCCAUAAACCUAUGAUCCGGCGGUUUCCGAAUGGGGAAACCCGGUCUCGAUAAUAUCGGGAUCGACCAAACAUGAAGUUAGUUCAGUAAUGGACUAUAUUAACGUUUGGUUGGUAACGGCGUGAACUGAAACAUCUAAGUAACGCCAGGAAAAGAAAUCAAUAGAGAUUCCCUAAGUAGCGGCGAGCGAAAAGGGAAAAGUCUAAACCCCGCCGAAAGGCGGGGGGUUGCAGGACUGCAUAGCAGGAUCAGUUGAAGGUAGAGGAAAGCGCCGGAAUUGCGCUACCAAAGAGGGUGAUAGUCCCGUAUUCAAAACCCAAGACUGCCUAGCAGUAUCCUAAGUACCAUGGGGUACGAUAAAACCCUGUGGGAAACUGGGACGUCCACGUUCCAAGACUAAAUACCAAAGUCUACCGAUAGUGAACUAGUACCGCGAGGGAAAGGUGAAAAGCACCCCGGAAGGGGAAUGAAAUAGACCUGAAAUUGUUGGCUAACAAGCAGACAAAGCUUGUCCUUUGGACAAGGAAAUUCUAAGCAUUAAUUUCUAAAUUCUAAAUAAUAUCAAAAUUACAAUAAUCAAAUUCCAAACAAUUAAUUUUAAGAUUUGAAAAUUGAAAUUUAUUUAGGAUUUAUGAUUUUGAAUUUAGGAUUUUCUCGUCCUUUGGACGAGUAAUGUCGUGCCUAUUGAAGAAUGAACCGGUGAGUUUCCUCACCUUUCAUUAGUUUAAGCAAGUCAAACUUGCGAAAGCGUAGUGAAAGCGAUCCCUAACUGGGAUAUUUAGAAGGGUGAGGAAGACCCGAAACCGGGUGAGCUAACCUUGGGCAGGGUGAACCUCGACGAAAGUCGGGGGGAGGCCCGAACCCGUAUCUGUAGCAAUAGGUUGGGAUGACCUGAGGUUAGGGGCAAUAUGCCAAACGAACCCGGAGAUAGCUGGUUCUCCCCGAAAUAUAUUUAGGUAUAGCGGCCGCCUCCACUUCCUAGGGGUAGAGCACUGAAUGGUUCACGGCGACGCAAGUUGUCGUAACCAAUCAAACUCCGAAUACUAGGAUGUUACGGCGAGCUAGUCAGACUUGUCGGGCUAAGCUGAUGAGUCGAAAGGGAAACAGCCCAGACUCCCAUCUAAGGCCUCUAAAUAAAAGCUAAGUUUCGAAGGAAGUCAAGUUCCAUAGACAACCAGGAGGUUGGCUUAGAAGCAGCCAUCCUUUAAAGAUAGCGUAACAGCUCACUGGAAGAUUGCCUGCCUCACGGCAGGUAGGUACUUGGCGCCGAAAAUUUAUCGAGGAUAAGCUUUUUGCCGAAGAUGGAGCCCUGAAGUAUGCGCAAGCUUAACUUCAGGGGGUAGGGGAGCGUCCCCACUUUUGUGAAGCCGCACUGUAAGGUGCGGUGGAAAAGUGGGGAGUGAGAAUGCCGGUAUGAGUAGCGAGAUGCCGAUGAGAAGUCGGCACGCCGAAAGCCCAAGGUUUCCUCCGCAAUGUAAGUCAGCGGAGGGUUAGUCGGUCCUAAGGGUGUCCCUUGCUAAAGAGGGGUAGCCCGAUGGACAAGUCGUUGAAAUUCGACUACAUGGGAAAGUGCGUUAUCACUCAAGGAUUGACCAGAGUGGAAGAGAAAUGCCUCGGGAACGGGGUCUAAGCCAUAAAGCAGUUUUGACUGGUAAAUCCGUCUGAACGUUUUAACUGAAUGGCGAUGGCAUAUGUUCUGAUUUUUUCAGGGCUAAGAUUUCAGCUUUCAGUCUGCGAGAAAAGAUUCGUGAGGAGUGCUUUUCUGUACCGUACCGCAAACCGACACAGGUGGGUUGGUCGAGAAGACUAAGGCGAUCGGGAGAAGGAUGAUCAAGGAACUCGGCAAAAAAGCUGGGCGUAACCUUUGGGAGAUGCCCUUCCCGCCUUUGGCGGGAUACAACAAAAGAUUGCUUAGCGACUGUUUAUCUAAAACACAGGUCCCUGCAAAACCGAAAGGUAAAGUAUAGGGGCUGACGCCUGCCCAGUGCNNNNNNNNGCAAAACCGAAAGGUAAAGUAUAGGGGCUGACGCCUGCCCAGUGCUGGUAAGUCAACCGCAGUGAGUGCGUAACCUUCGAGGUUACAAGCUUGUUGCGUAAGCUCCAGUAAACGGCAGCAGUAACUAUAACUGUUCUAUGGUAGGUUCAAUUGAAUCGCUGCCAUAGUGAGGUGAAAAACCUCCGUGUCCGAGUUUAAAAAUAACACGAAAACUUGACUAUAUGCUGGAAACUCCUGUAUUCUGGAUCUACUAUGGAUAAGUUUGUACAUAGUGAAAAUGAUACCAGUAGGGACAAUCAGCAGGAAAGACUAAACCCGUGGUGGAUUGUAGGAUUUGUUGAUGGUGAAGGAUGCUUUUCCGUAAGCAGGUUUAAAAAUAAAACUUGCAAAAGCGGUUAUCAGAUUCUUUUCGAGUUUGUUAUAACGCAGGGAGAAAGAAGCAAGGAAUCACUAGAAUCAAUAAAAGAUUAUUUUGGUUGCGGAAAUAUUUACAUUAACCGUCGCUAUGAUAAUCACAAUUACAAUCUUUUAAGAUAUUGCGUAAGAAGACAGAAUGAUUUAAAAAAGAUAGUCGUUCCGUUUUUUAGAAAGCACAGACUUAAAACCACAAAGCAGCAGCAAUUUGAAAGUUUCUGCAAAAAGUUAGGGGUUUAGAAUCCCCAGAGACUAUACGUCAAGUCCCCUCCUUUUUAAAAAAGAAGGGGGAAGAUAUAGUCCAAGCUUCAUUUAUUUGAAGUAUUAGAGCGAAGUUCCUUGUCGGGCAAGUUCCGACCCGCACGAAAGGCAGAACGACUGAGCAACUGUCUUGAUCAUCUACCCGGCGAAAUUGAGAUGGCCGUGAAGACGCGGCCUAGUUGUCCUUGGACAAAAAGACCCCGGGAGCUUUACUGUAGCUUGGCAUUUGAAAACUUGUUUCAACUGUUUAGAAUAGGAGGGAGCUUGUGCUUUGCACAAGAUUGAUGAUUGACCAUUGAUGAUUUAUGAUUUGAAUUUCUAAAUUGUCAAUAGUAAAUAAUAAAUUGUCAAUCUCGCGCAGAGCGCGAGCAUCGGUGAAAUACCUCUCUUUGAAAUUAGUAAUCAUUACCUUAUUGCCGCAAAAAGAUCCGGCUAAGGGACAGUGUCUGGCGGGCAGUUUAACUGGGGAGGUUGACUCCUAAAUUGCAACGGAGUUGCACAAAGGUUGGCUAAUCGCCGAUGGAAAUGGCGAUGAUAGUGUAAAGGCACAAGCCAGCUUGACUGCGAGACCUACAAGUCGAGCAGGUGCGAAAGCAGGUCUUAGUGAUCCUCCGAGGCUUAGUGGUAAGCACGGAGCUUAACGGAUAAAAGCUACCCCGGGGAUAACAGGCUGAUCGCAUCCAAGCGUCCACAGCGACGAUGCGGUUUGGCACCUCGAUGUCGGCUCAUCCUAUCCUGGGGCUGUAGAAGGUCCCAAGGGUCGGGCUGUUCGCCCGUUAAAAGGGUACGCGAGCUGGGUUAAGAACGUCGUAAGACAGUUCGGACUCUAUCCAGGACAACC